UGGGGCCAAUGAUUGGGGUGAAGUCGUAACAAGGUAGCCGUAUCGGAAGGUGCGGCUGGAUCACCUCCUUU
rnacentral:rRNA from 1 species